GAACAGCGGCGCAGUAUCCUAGUCAGAUCUGCCGUCUUCUGAAGAGGGGCCUAAAAAUCCCUAAAAGGGCACAACUGUGAAACCUCUGGUGCUUGCUUCUUACGCCCAGUUUGGGGUGGGUGCUGGAAGGGAGGCGCGGCCAGUCACCGCGCCUGCGGCCGUAGGGCGCCCUCCAAUGGCAUGGAGGACCCGACCCUGCGGUCGUGGAGACCUGCUGUUGUGCACAGGCGUACUCCCUUUGUGGUUAGCGACCUGUGUACGAAGCAGAUUGCGAACCUGCAUCGCGGUGCUACCCGGCUUUAUGCCGUGAACGCUGUGUGCAGAGUAGCCUGCCUUGCGUGGGCAGGGUGGAUGGGAGAGUCAACGCGUCAUGUCCCCGGCCAGGGACGCAGCGCUAUUUCCCUGAAACCCUGUUUGCAAAAGAGGAUAAGAGACGGUUUGACUGUGGUGGAAAUCACCUAGGCUGUCCUGAGAGGGGGCGCCGGAAGGAUUGCAGUGCGGACUAAGUGGCAGUCGGGUAUCGCGGCGGGCAACACCGCGACACAGCACCGAAGGGGAAACCACCUGCAUCGGCGACGAGAGGUGUGCUGCGGGGAAAUCCAACCCGUACCUAAGCCGCAAGAUUUACUUCCGGAGUCGCCC
rnacentral:sRNA from 1 species